rnacentral:rRNA from 1 species
CCCUUAGAUGUUCUGGGCUGCACGCGCGCUACACUGACAUGUCCAGCGAGCUCCCAACCUGCUCGGCAAAGAAUGGGUACCCUUUUUAACGCAUGUCGUGAUGGGGAUAGAUUAUUGCAAUUGUUGAUCUUGAACGAGGAAUUCCUAGUAAGUGCAAGUCAUUAGCUUGUGCUGAUUACGUCCCUGCCCUUUGUACACACCGCCCGUCGCUACUACCGAUUGAACGGUUUAGUGAGGGCCUCGGAUUGGUCUCGGCCCGCUCUUUACCGGGCGGCGCCGUUGGUCGAGAAGACGCUCGAACUUGAUCGUUUAGAGGAAGUAAAAGUCGUAACA